UCCAUAGUAGCUCAGUGGUAGAGCAAUCGGCUGUUAACCGAUCGGUCGUAGGUUCGAGUCCUACCUGUGGAG
rnacentral:tRNA from 1 species